GACGAACCGUGCGAACGUUGUUCGGAAUCACUGGGCUUAAAGGGCGCGUAGGCGGCCCGCCGCGUCCGGGGUGAAAUCCUCCCGCUCAACGGGAGAACGGCCUCGGAUACGGGCGGGCUGGAGGCGGGUAGGGGCACGCGGAACUGUGGGUGGAGCGGUGAAAUGCGUUGAGAUCCACAGGAACUCCGGUGGCGAAGGCGGCGUGCUGGACCCGAUCUGACGCUGAGGCGCGGAAAGCCCAGGGGAGCGAACGGG
rnacentral:rRNA from 1 species